GGGCGAGGGCCGGAGGCUACACAUGCAAGUCGAACGGUAACAGGAAGCAGCUUGCUGCUUCGCUGACGAGUGGCGGACGGGUGAGUAAUGUCUGGGAAACUGCCUGAUGGAGGGGGAUAACUACUGGAAACGGUAGCUAAUACCGCAUAACGUCGCAAGACCAAAGAGGGGGACCUUCGGGCCUCUUGCCAUCGGAUGUGCCCAGAUGGGAUUAGCUAGUAGGUGGGGUAACGGCUCACCUAGGCGACGAUCCCUAGCUGGUCUGAGAGGAUGACCAGCCACACUGGAACUGAGACACGGUCCAGACUCCUACGGGAGGCAGCAGUGGGGAAUAUUGCACAAUGGGCGCAAGCCUGAUGCAGCCAUGCCGCGUGUAUGAAGAAGGCCUUCGGGUUGUAAAGUACUUUCAGCGGGGAGGAAGGCGACAGGGUUAAUAACCCUGUCGAUUGACGUUACCCGCAGAAGAAGCACCGGCUAACUCCGUGCCAGCAGCCGCGGUAAUACGGAGGGUGCAAGCGUUAAUCGGAAUUACUGGGCGUAAAGCGCACGCAGGCGGUCUGUCAAGUCGGAUGUGAAAUCCCCGGGCUCAACCUGGGAACUGCAUUCGAAACUGGCAGGCUAGAGUCUUGUAGAGGGGGGUAGAAUUCCAGGUGUAGCGGUGAAAUGCGUAGAGAUCUGGAGGAAUACCGGUGGCGAAGGCGGCCCCCUGGACAAAGACUGACGCUCAGGUGCGAAAGCGUGGGGAGCAAAACAGAUUAGAUACCCUGGUAGUCCACGCCGUAAACGAUGUCGACUUGGGAGGUUGUGCCCUUGAGGCGUGGCUUCCGGAGCUAACGCGUUAAGUCGACCGCCUGGGGGAGUACGGCCGCAAGGUUAAAACUCAAAUGAAUUGACGGGGGCCCGCACAAAGCGGUGGAGCAUGUGGUUUAAUUCGAUGCAACGCGAAGAACCUUACCUACUCUUGACAUCCAGAGAACUUAGCAGAGAUGCUUUGGGUGCUUUCGGGAACUCUGGAGACAGGUGCCUGCAUGGCUGUCGUCAGCUCGUGUUUGUGAAAUGUUGGGUUUAAGUCCCGCAACGAGCGCCAACCCUUAUCCCUUUGUUGCCCAGCGUGUAAGGCCGUGGAAAUCUCAAAGAGAGAA
rnacentral:rRNA from 1 species